rnacentral:rRNA from 1 species
AUGCCUGAAUGGGGAUGUCCACAACGGAAUUCAGAGCUACUGGUUGGUGCGCUUAUUUAUUUUCUGUCUGUUAGUAUAUACAUUGAAAUCAUCAUAACAUGGAUAAUAUUACAUGUUAUGAUGAUUUUUCUUAGAGCUGGGGACAGGAUGGCGUGCGACGUACGCUGGUCGGUCUCGUUCGCACCCGACCUCACGACGGCACGCACUCUGGUCUUCACCGACGGUGAGAUCCGGCUGCGACACGACGCACUCCGGAUCGUGCUGAUCGAUGAGAGGGGGGUGACGGUCGAUGCACGCUUUCUCCGGGUCAGGGAGUGCAUCAACGUGGGACAAGCCGUUUCCUUCCACUAG